UCAGCCAGCCUUGGGGUGAGCGGCCUGUUCUGCCCUGUGCCCGAGAGGAAUGUUCGCGGUGGCAUGGGCCCGGGUCCGAGAAGAAAGGCAGCCUUGUGGGCGAAAGGGUCUCGCUGUAUAGCUUUGGCUGGCCUGGAACUCACUAUGUAGACCUGGAGAUCUCAACUCACAAAGAUCCACUUGUCUCCACCUCCAGGAUGCUUCAAUUAACAACGUGAGCCACUAGGCCCAGCCACUAGGCCCAGCCACAGAAACUUUCGUUUGUUUGUUUUGUUUUGUUUUGUUUUUUGAGACAGGAUCUCACCGAGUAGUUCUCUGACUGUCCUGGAACUUGCUCUGUAGACCAGGCUGGCCUCAAACUCAGAGAUCCACCUGCCUCUGCCUCCUGAGUGGGAUUAAAGGAGUCACCACCACC
rnacentral:lncRNA from 1 species